GACGAACGCUGGCGGCGUGCCUAAUACAUGCAAGUAGAACGCACAGUUUAUACCGUAGCUUGCUACACCAUAGACUGUGAGUUGCGAACGGGUGAGUAACGCGUAGGUAACCUGCCUGGUAGCGGGGGAUAACUAUUGGAAACGAUAGCUAAUACCGCAUAAUAUUAAUUAUUGCAUGAUAAUUAAUUGAAAGGUGCAAUUGCACCACUACCAGAUGGACCUGCGUUGUAUUAGCUAGUAGGUGAGGUAACGGCUCACCUAGGCGACGAUACAUAGCCGACCUGAGAGGGUGAUCGGCCACACUGGGACUGAGACACGGCCCAGACUCCUACGGGAGGCAGCAGUAGGGAAUCUUCGGCAAUGGACGAAAGUCUGACCGAGCAACGCCGCGUGAGUGAAGAAGGUUUUCGGAUCGUAAAGCUCUGUUGUAAGAGAAGAACGGGUGUAGAGUGGAAAGUUCACACUGUGACGGUAUCUUACCAGAAAGGGACGGCUAACUACGUG
rnacentral:rRNA from 1 species